UACGGGGGGGAGCAAGCGUUUGUUCGGAUUUACUGGGCGUAAAGGGCGCGUAGGCGGCGUGACAAGUCACUUGUGAAAUCUCCGGGCUUAACUCGGAACGGUCAAGUGAUACUGUCGUUGCUAGAGUACAGAAAGGGGGCAACUGGAAUUCUCGGUGUAGCGGUGAAAUGCGUAGAUAUCGAGAGGAACACCUGCGGCGAAGGCGGGGUUUGCUGGGGCUGAUACUGACUGAGGCGCGAAAAGCUAGGGGUAGCAAAACAGGGAUU
rnacentral:rRNA from 1 species